rnacentral:rRNA from 6 species
UUAAAUUGAAGAGUUUGAUCAUGGCUCAGAUUGAACGCUGGCGGCAGGCCUAACACAUGCAAGUCGGGCGGUAACAGGAAAGCGCUUGCGCUUUUGCUGACGAGCGGCGGACGGGUGAGUAAUGUCUGGGGAUCUGCCCGAGGGCGGGGGAUAACCACUGGAAACGGUGGCUAAUACCGCAUAAUGUCGCGAGACCAAAGUGGGGGACCUGAAAGGG